AGUGAACGCUGGCGGUAGGCCUAACACAUGCAAGUCGAACGGCAGCACAGUAAGAGCUUGCUCUUACGGGUGGCGAGUGGCGGACGGGUGAGGAAUACAUCGGAAUCUACUUUUUCGUGGGGGAUAACGUAGGGAAACUUACGCUAAUACCGCAUACGACCUACGGGUGAAAGCAGGGGAUCUUCGGACCUUGCGCGAUUGAAUGAGCCGAUGUCGGAUUGGCUAGUUGGCGGGGUAAAGGCCCACCAAGGCGACGAUCCGUAGCUGGUCUGAGAGGAUGAUCAGCCACACUGGAACUGAGACACGGUCCAGACUCCUACGGGAGGCAGCAGUGGGGAAUAUUGGACAAUGGGCGCAAGCCUGAUCCAGCCAUACCGCGUGGGUGAAGAAGGCCUUCGGGUUGUAAAGCCCUUUUGUUGGGAAAGAAAAGCAGCAGGUUAAUACCCCGCUGUUCUGACGGUACCCAAAGAAUAAGCACCGGCUAACUUCGUU
rnacentral:rRNA from 1 species